GCGAAGGCAGCUUUCUGGAUCAUUACUGACACUGAGGAACGAAAGCAUGGGUAGCGAAGAGGAUUAGAUACCCUCGUAGUCCAUGCCGUAAACGAUGUGUGUUAGACGUUGGAAAUUUAUUUUCAGUGUCGCAGGGAAACCGAUAAACACACCGCCUGGGGAGUACGACCGCAAGGUUAAAACUCAAAUGAAUUGACGGGGACCCGCACAAGUAGUGGAGCAUGUGGUUUAAUUCGAAGAUACGCGCAGAACCUUACCAACACUUGACAUGUUCGUCGCGACUCUAAGAGAUUAGAGUUUUCGGUUCGGCCGGACGAAACACAGGUGCUGCAUGGCUGUCGUCAGCUCGUGUCGUGAGAUGUUGGGUUAAGUCCCGCAACGAGCGCAACCCUCACUUUUAGUUGCCAUCAUUAAGUUGGGCACUCUGAAAGAACUGCCAGUGAUAAGCUGGAGGAAGGUGGGGAUGACGUCAAGUCCUCAUGGCCCUUACGUGUUGGGCUACACACGUGCUACAAUGGCAUCUACAACAGGAAGCAAAACGGCAACGUUAAGCAAAUCCCGAAAAGAUGCCUCAGUUCGGAUUGCACUCUGCAACUCGAGUGCAUGAAGCUGGAAUUACUAGUAAUCGUGGAUCAGCGUGCCACGGUGAAUGCGUUCCCGGGUCUUGUACACACCGCCCGUCACACCAUGGGAGUUGGUUCUACCUUAAGGCAAGGUUUUAAACCCUUGACCACGGUAUAGUCAGCGACUGGGGUGAAGUCGUAACAAGGUAGCCGUA
rnacentral:rRNA from 1 species